rnacentral:lncRNA from 1 species
AACAAAUGCCAAAUGUCUUCUUUGAUAUAAUGAGAGCAACUAAGAACAGAGCAGGGAGGAAGAGCAGGAGGAAAAGAUUAACAUUAAACAGAGACAUGAGGUGGGAGGGAAAGGGAGAGAGAAGGGAAAUUGCAUGGAAAUGGAAGGAGACCCUCAUUGUUACACAAAAUUGCAUAUAAGAGGUUGUGAGGGGAAUGGGAAAAAAACAAGGAGAGAAAUGAAUUACAGUAGAUGGGGUAGAGAGAGAAGAUGGGAGGGGAGGGGAGGGGGGAUAGUAGAAGUUAGGAAAGGCAGCAGAAUACAACAGUUACUAAUAUGGCAUUAUGUAAAAAUGUGGAUGUGUAACCGACGUGAUUCUGCAAUCUGUAUACGGGGUAAAAAUGGGAGUUCAUAACCCACUUGAAUCUAAUGUAUGAAAUAUGAUAUGUCAAGAGCUUUGUAAUGUUUUGAACAACAAAUAAAAUAAAAUAAAAUAAAAUGCUUUUCCUGAA